UCCAAGCUAGACGCGGCUCAUCUCCCCCCGGGCUCGCGGCGGGGGAAGGGCCGGGGAGGAAGGGGACACGCGUGAGGCCAACCGAGGCCCGGCCGAACGUGCCCCCUCAGCGGGUGUCGGGAGAGCCCCUGGCCGCCGCCCCUGCAGGAGGGCUCCGGAAUCCCCUGCCUGACCCCGGGCGAGCGCCGCUGCCAGCUCGGCUCCUGAAAGAGGGGCUAAGGGGCCCAAGUCCAACUGGCAAGAGGGCAAGCUAGCCAUUCUACCACUACCAGCUCCAGGAUUAUUUCCUGCCUGACAACGUAGAACUUGGCAAGAGGUGGAUAAUUAAUCCGGUCAACAAAAGAGUAGUCGAGUCUGCCAAACUUACAGGAAGCCUGCAAAAUAAACUCAUCAAUCUUUCAUCUGAUAAAAUGCUCCAGUGUUCAUUUCCUUCAGAAGACAUGUGCGCGUUUUGGAUGGCACAGAAGCAUGAGUAUCCCAAACUUAUAACUGAAGCUUUGAAAGUUUCAAUCCUGUUCGCAAUGUCAUACUUAUUAGAAUUAGGAUUCUCAUCGAGAGUUGCAA